GAGAGAGAGAGAGAGAGAGAGAGAGAGAGAGAGAGAGUAAACAAAUCUUUAGAACCGAAUACUAACCUGGCGAAGCUUCACAUAGAACAGACGGGGUUCGAACCAAGACGAGGUGAGUGGCGGGUGUCGAUGUCGUGAGGAGGAGAGAUCCGGAGACGCACAAUAGUUCAUCCGUGCCUUCUACCACAACGCAUUUGUCUUCAACCUCGCAGGAGCACGAUAGCCGCGAGGUGAUCACAUCAGAUACAGACGCACAAGCACUUGCCUCUACUACAACUCAACAUGUAUACUCCUAACCCAUACGUGGUCCCCACCGCCGCGUACGCUCCCCCCGUUGCUGUGGUGGCUCCUGCCCAGGGUGUGGUGAUGGCGGCGCCGCAGCCGCCACCCGUUGUGAUACAGCAGGGCCCGCCCCCACCGCAGAUAGUAACCUACCAAGCAGCUCCUCCUCCAGUUGUGUACGGCCCAGCACCUGUCAUGGGAGCUCAAGGCGCGACGGUGGUGGUCACCAACAAUCCGCCAAAGAGGCGUCGCCCUCAGCCUGCACCUAAGAAGAGCGGCGGGUUUUUGUCGUCGCUGUUCUGAAAAGUUGACUCGGCAACAAGACGCUGCUGGCGCAGUGUUGGAUUUCAAGGUGUUGGCCAACAAUGGUCGUUUUGAGUCUAGUCUGGCUUUAAUUUUAGUUUAAUACAUUGCGGUCAUUAUUAGUUUUUAUGUAAAUGAAGUACUUAUUGUUACUGUUGAAACAUUGUAUAAUUGGCGUAUAAUUGGCACGUGAGGUUGCACUAGCCACAGUGGGUAGUUACUGAGCAAUUCAUUCACUGCAUUUAAAUGUUAGACUACUUAGCAGUCAAGAGAUGCAGGUGUGUUUAGCAGUCAGGACAUGCAGGCAUGUUUAAUAGUUUCUGUAGACUGUGUAGUCACUGUGUAGUCAGUCUUAAUUUAAAUAUUUUAAUCCCUUAAUAAAACUUUCUCAAUCUU